rnacentral:misc_RNA from 1 species
AUUAUAUAUAUAUAUAUAUAUUGGGGCGAGUUUUAGGGCAGGGUGCUUAAAUACCGACCCCGCACCGUCCCCGGUGAUAUAUUUUUUGAGGUACCUCAAAACCCGAUCCAAAACCCGGUCAAAUGUUGAAAAACCCACCCCGAUCGGGAUGGGACAGGGCGCGUCCCCACGGGGUCGGAGAUUUUGCCAUCUCUAUUUCCUCUUAAUGAAAGCUGACGCAUGAAGUUUGCUUCCAGUGUAUAAUUGACAAUCAAGGGCUCCCUUGUCUCUACCAACUUCU